rnacentral:lncRNA from 1 species
AAACGACUGCGCCUUGUGCCCGGGGGAAGAGGUGAGAAUCGAAUCCUGAACCGUAAGUCCUGAUAAGGCCGCGCUUAUCACUUUGGCUAAGCCUUGUAUUUUUUAUAUUUUAUUUUACGCUUACUAUCAGUUUGGUUAUAAAUAGGGAAUCCCAAAAUCUUACUAUAUUGUACAACUCGAUAAAAUGGGUUCCAGGAAGUUGCUUGUUUUGGAGAUCUUUCUCUUGACACUUAUCCUUCUCUUGGCUUUUGAAGUGGCUGCAAGGGAACUGCUUGACGUCACAGGUAAGUUUCAAUCUGGAUUCUUGCUUUUGGGAACUGCUUUGGCUUUAGGUUGGUCAGUCGUAUUGGCUUUUGGAUUCUAACCGUUCAUAUGUAGGAUUUUCUGAAAAAUUAUAUAACGAUUUCUGAAAAAACUUUAAUUCUAUAAAAAUUUAUUUUAAUAGAAUUCAAAUCAAUCGUUAAUAUUAAUUUAUAUCAAGAUAAAUAAGUUCAAAAUAGAACCCUAAAUGUUGAACUGAACUUAUCUACAAUAUGAACGGUUUGUGUCAUUAAAUGAACUCAAAAUAAAACUCAAAAUUUUUUGAGUUGCACCCAUACAACUUCAGAGAAGCCAGAUCCAUAUUAUAUAUAUGAACAUAAGAAUCUUGAUAUAUUAUCUUUUGGAAAGAGUUUUACUAGAGACAAUGAACAGUGGAUGGAUAAUGCAAAUUCACAUGUGGUGGUACCCACGUGUUUAUUAGCUCAUUGCCAAUGCACUGAACAAAAUAUAUAUUUUUUAUUUUUUUUAUUUUGAAAAUCAUGUCCAAUGUUCUCUUCUACUUUUUAUAUUUCGUGUUUGAUUGGCAACUAGAAAUGGUUAUAAGUUUAUAACACACAUAAUACUGUUCAUGCUUGGUAAUGUUAGAUUUUGUUAAAGUGUUUUUUGGAAAAGCAACCCUUGAAGUAUUUCUGAAAAUAUGCUUAAAUCGACCCUUCAAAAGAAAAAACAAAAGCAUUAAGUAAUUUUUUAAAGGUUUUCCAAAUAUUCACGUACAACGUUUUUCUAGAUAAAAAUUGACAAAAAGCUUCUAGAAAUUUUUCAAAACAUGCUCACUAUAUUCCAAAAGUGUGAAAUAUAAUAUAUCACACGAUUACACUCCCAUGGUAUAUUAUAUCCCCACCAGCAAACAUGGCCCCCUCUCAAUAUUCAUUCAAUGGCUAUGACCAAUCCUUUUUUUCUUAUCCCAAGCCAUAUCCUGAUAUCCUAACCCAAACAAACAUAGUAUAUGUAUUAUUACUUUUUNNNNNNNNNNNNNNNNNNNNNNNNNNNNNNNNNNNNNNNNNNNNNNNNNNNNNNNNNNNNNNNNNNNNNNNNNNNNNNNNNNNNNNNNNNNNNNNNNNNNAAUUCUUUACACUCUUUUAGUAUUUAAGGGAAAAGAUCUUUAAUAAAUUUGGCAGCCCAAUGCUGUAGCAUUAACAUCUAUCAUGUCCCUCUCUCCCAUCUUUAAAAUCUUUCAGUAUUUUAAAAAGACAUCUAUAUUAACCUUGUCAUUGGUCCGAAAAGUUGUGUUGCAUUAAAGCCUAUCAUGUCCUCUAUCUCCAUCUUUACAAUCUUUAGAAUUUCAGGAAAAAAUCCUUCAAUAAAUUUGGAAUUAGCCCAAUGUCGUGUAGCAUUAAAAUCUAUCAUGUCCCUCUCUCCCAACUUUAAAAUCUUUCGAUAUUUUAAAAACAUCCCUAUUAAAACUGGGCAUGGUUCAACAAAAAUCGGUGUAGCCAUUAAAUUCGGAUCAUGUUCACUUCUUCCCAUCUUUAUAAUCUUUUAGAUAUUUAAGGAAAGAUCCUUAAUAAAAUUGGCCAUUGGUCCAAAGUUGUGUUGCAUUAAAGCUAUCAUGCCCUUCUCUCCCAUCUUAACAAUCUUUUAGAUAUUUCAACGGAAAGAUCCUUAUUAAAUUUGGCAUUAGGCCCAAUGUCGUGUAGCAUUAAAAUCCUAUCAUGUCCCUCUCUCCCAUCUUUAAAAUAUUUUAAAUAUUUUAAGAAAACAUCCCUACUAAACUUGGCAUUGGUCCAAAAUCAUGUAGCAUUAAAUCCUAUCCUGUCACUUUCUCCCAUCUUUGAAAUCUCCCACGUAUUUUAUAGAAACAACCCUAAUAAACUUGGCAGUGAUUAGAAGAAGUCUGUAGCAUUAAAGUGUAUCAUAUCCAUCUCUUUUAAAGUAUAAUUUAUUUAUUUAUUUAUUUUAUUAAUUAAUUUAGUUAUCAAGUGUUACAUGGUGGGAGGUCUCAAAUUACUAUUUGUGGCUGAAGAUGGUACCUAGUGAUUCAAAACAUUGACCCAUGCCGAUGCCGUGAAUUGACUGCAAACGGAGGCCAAUUACCCACGUCCCACGUUAUCUUAGUCUUGGGACAUUUCUCAUCUAAACUAAAAAAUUGGAAUUUAAAUGGUGGAAAUUGUUUAUUAAAAAAAAUAAAUUUUUGGCCAAUUUUAUUAAAACGUUCAUUAAAAAAUAAAAGAUCUAGUAAAAAAGCCAAAAUUUUGGAGAUUUGUUAGGAAAAUAAUUUUGGGCCAAUUUUGAAGAAAAAUAAAAGAGUAAUCCUACAUCUUUUGAAGCCAGUCUAGUUGGAUAUGCUUAACUUAGUGAGGUGAUUAAUAUCUGAUAAUUUUUUUAUUCAAAAUCAUAAGAUUAAAUGGAAAAUUGACACCCAAAAUUCACUGCUUCAAUAUUAGGGAAGAAUGGUAAAAUAAAUUGCCACAUUGGUCCAUUUAUGAGGUCCUUUAGCGGGUUUACAAGCUUUCCCCUUGAAUUGGUCUGGGGCCCGAGGGGCAACCAUGUUUCAUGGAGGAGGGAGAGGACUGCACCUUUGUGUUACCAUUUGGAAAAAAAAAAAAAAUAUUAUUAUUUAUUUGAGAUUUUAAAAGCGUUCAAAAGGUGCUUACAAUGUGGCAAUGGGGUCCUUAUGAAAGGAACACGGUCUCUUACCCAACGGUCUGAAAUUUGUACCACGUAGUUGUGGCCUGGAAUGUUCGUGCGUCCCAUUUUUGGCACGAGCAUUCAGUGGCACUUUUCGCCAUGAUGGAGCAAACUGUUGACUGUUGAUCUGUACGAACGAAACUUCCGUCACCGAAAAAACUCAAUUAGGAUGGCUACGAAUAUAGAUGAAUCGAAUUAAUUAAACAAUUUUCAAUGUGGAAAAUUAAACAAACAAAUGAGAGAAUAAAAAACAAAAAUAAAAAAAAAAAUCAAAUUUUAUGUGUGUUCGACACUGUAUUAGGUACAGACUGUCAAACAAGUAAAGGUUCCACUAACAAACCAACGAUUGCCCCGAAGAAGAAGAGCCAAAGGAAAGAGAAAUGUUUGUUGAAAAACUCCUCUCCAAAGCCUCACCAAUAUCAACUAGCAAUUUUCCCCGACCCUAGGUAGACAACUCAAAACAAAAAACUCUCUCUCACAUAAAAAGAUUAAAGACUAACCAAAGUCCCCAAUUGGGGGGUCCAAGGGAAACUAAAAAAAAUUUCUUCAAAAACUUGAAGGUCAUCCAAGUCCCCAUAAAGAUCUUUCAAAGGAACUAGAAAUUUACCAAAGAUUAGAGAAUCUUCCAAAUUUAUAACCAAAAAAUCCUUCGUUAAAAACAAACAAUACCAAAAGUGUUUCUUACCAAACAAGCUCCUAAAACCAAUAAAGAAUUACAAAAAAAUAGAGUUUAGAAAUUCUAAAACGAGUUUAAUUAUUCAAAUCUUACCAAUCAAAACCAAUCUAAUUGUCAAUAUCUAAGUGUGAAGCUGAAAAGGCAAAAUUAUCUUACUUGUCUGAUUCUAAAUUAACAGAUGGUACCUUCUCUAGAUCAAAAUUGAAUUAUUGCUUUUGGGGUUUUCGCAAAACUGAGGAAAUUUUGUUCUAGUGGUUCUUUGUUUUUUUUUGGGACUUUACGUUCGAUUGAUAUUGAUAAUAUUUUCAUUGUGGUUUAGUGGUUUCUCUUAAUGGAGUAUAAAAUAAAAUUAUCGAUUUUAUUUUAUACACAUUUUUUUUUAAGAUACAUGUUUUUCUUUCUUUCAAGUACCAUUUUUUCUUUCUUCACUCGAUGCUUUUAUCGAUUUCGACGAGAAGUUACAAACAUUGCAUACAUUACUUUUUAGGCAACAUUUUUUAUGAAGUGUUAAUUUCGUUAGAAAGGAAAAGCUACUGAGCUGUAGUAGUUGUAUUUUUUAAUAUAUUGUAAUCAGAUGUUGCUAAAUAAAUGAUGCUUUAAAAUGUUUUGAGACAAAUGGUAUAUGAGAAGUUUUUAUCCGGAAAGAUUAGGUACGGAAAAAUCUAUUACUUUCUUGUAGUGAUUUCUUUUCUUUUUUAAGCAUUAUGUAGGGCUCCAUUUAAGAGUUCACUUAGGUCUCCAAAAACUUAGGACUUGCUCUCGAUUCAAUUCAUGUCUAAGUUAGUAAAUAAAGAGAUUACAUACACUGUUGGUUCACUGUAGAAACAAAUUGAAAAGUUUUCAUUUGUUCUGCACGAUCACUAUAUUUCAGGAGACAAACGUCUAAAAUAGUAAACACCUUAACGAUGGAAAAUUCUGUCUUUAAGGACAUAGUGCUAAACACUAGCCUUUGAUUAGUCUCCUUCGAAUUUCUCACUACAAUUUGUUUUAUACAAGGUAUAUCUUCUUCUGCAAUCAGUUAUUUGUGUUCAAACCACAUAAUCUGUUUCUGAUUUUGUUUCUAAAAGUAAUUGUUGUUUCCAAAAGAGUUUUUGGUUAUGUUUCUACAAAAUCAGAUUUUUUAAACAGUUUAGCUUCUGCAAAUUAAAUCUGUUUCUGUAAUUAUAUAUAUAUAUAUAUAUAUAUAUGUAUAUAUAUUUAUAUAUAUAUAUAUAUACACACACACACACAAAAAAAAAAGAAUUAAAAAGUAAAAGCUAAAAAUAAAAAUAGUAAUUUUCACACUUUUUUUUUCCUUCAAUUACACUCUAUUUUGUGUCUUUAUUUGGUAUAAGAUUAUCAAAAUACCCAAGUAUUUAUAUUUCUAAACUACUUUUCUCAAAAUAUUCUAAUUGCAUAGAAGGACAUUUAAGUAUUUUUGCCAAAUAAAAAAAAAGAAAUGGAAUUAGAGAAAAAAAGAAUGUAAAAAUCAUUACCUAAAUUAAUGAAAACAUGCUAAAAUGAAAAUUUUCUGAUGCCAUCUAUUACUUAAAAAAUAUAAUAUUCCGUUUGGAUAUGUGAAUUUCAAAUGCUAUUUAAUUUUUUUUAAAAGAAGAAUAUUUUAAUUACACGUAUUUCAAUUAACACUUAUAUUGGAAAAAGAGAGAGCGGAGUGAGAUGUGUGAAUUUGUCAAAUUACACUAAUUUUGAGUUAUUUAAAAUUCUUUUCAUUUACUAUUGAAAUUCAAAGGGUAAUUUUUCUCAAUCUUAAAUUUUUUUGCUCUAUUCGCCAUCAAAACAUAAUUUUUGCUCUAUUCACCAUCGAAACAUACUCGACGAAUUUGGAAGGAAAAUUUCAAAUUUUUUAUUUUUAAAGGGAAUCUAAGAUCCAUGAAGAAUGACUCAACGCGGAAUUGCUCUAGAAUGGUCCCCAUCAUAGAAGAGUGCACAUCAACCAAGUAAUCAAUUUCAUAUUUUUUAUUUUAUUUUACGGUUACUAUCAGUUUGGUUAUAAAUAGGGAAUCCCAAAAUCUUGUUAUUGUAUGACUAAGAGAAAAAUGGGUUCCAGGAAGUUGCUUGUUUUGGAGAUAUUUCUCUCGACUCUUAUACUUCUCUAUUCUUUUGAAGUGGCUGCAAGGGAACUUUCUUUUGGAGACGUCACACGUAAGUUUCAAUCUGGAUUCUUUCUUUUGGCAACUGCUUUGGGUCGGUUGGUCGGUCGUAUUAGAGUCUCUGGAAGUCAGUUAAGUAUAAAAAAAAAAAAAACUCAAAUUUGUUUUUAAUGGUUUAUAUUACAAACAUUGUGGCAAGAUAUUAUUCGCCUAACAUGCCAAGCAAGAAGCCCAUCAUAUCCAACAUGAUAUUAUACGAACUAGGCUUCUUUACGGAUCAUUUUUGGACUGUAAUUUAAGUAUUUUGAGUUAUUUCAAUGAUUCAAACCGUUUAUAUGUAAACCUCCUACAAAAUAUUAAUUCUGUAAAAAAUUAUUUUGAUUGGAUUCAAAUCAAUAGUUAAAUUUAUUUAAUCAAAAUAAGUGAACUCAAAAUUGAACCCCAAAUUUUGAACUGAACCUAUUUAUAAUAUGAACAAUUUGUAUCAUUAAAAUGAACUCAAAAUAAAAUCCGAAAUGCUUGAGUUGCAUCCGUACAACUUUAGAGAAGCCAGAUCUAUAUUAUAUAUACGAACAUAGGAACUUGAUAUAGUACUUUUUGGAAAGAGUUUUGGUGGAGACAAUGUAUAAUGGAUGAAAAAUGCAAAUUCAUAUGUGGUGGUACCUGCGUUUUUAUUGGCUCAUUACCAAUGCAUUAUACAAAAUGCAUUUCUUUUUCUUUUUUUUUUUGAAAAUCAUGACCAAUGUUCUCUUCUACUUUUUAUAUUUUGUGUUUCGUUGGCAACCAAAGAUCAAAAUUUCAUUUCGAGGGUUUGUUUCUGUUGGCAACGAAAACGUUUUGACUGUUUCGAUGGAAACAAAAUGAAUUUUUGUUCCUUGUUGGCAACUAAAAAUGGUUAUAUGUUUACAACACAUGAGAGAAAUGUUUCGACUGUUUCAAUGGAAAACAAACGAAAUUGUAUCCUGAUGACAACUAAAAAGGUUAUAUAUAUUUAUAACACAUGAGAGAAUACUGUGCAUGUUUGGUAAAACUUAAACAAGGCACGCCUCUUAGAUUUUGUUAAAAGAUUUUUGAAAAAGCAACCCUUGGAGUAUUUCUGAAAAUAUGCUUAAUUCCCCCCUCAGAAGCAAAAAACAAAAGCAUUGUUAAGUAAAUUUUUAAAGGUUUUUCCAACAUUCACGUACAAAUUUUUUCUAGAUUAAAAUUGACAAAAAGCUUCUAGAAAUUUUUUCAAACAUGCUAACUAUAUUCUAAAAAGUGUGAAAUAUAAUAUAUCACCCAAUUUACACUCUCAUAGUAUAUCAUAUCCCCACCGGCAAACAUGGUUACCUCUCAAUAUUCAUUCAAUGGCUAAGAUUAAUCCUUUUUUCCUUAUCCCAAGCCAUAUCCUAAGUUCUUAACCCAAACAAAUAUAGUAUAUAUAAUUUUACUUUUUAUUUAUCAUUUAUUUUAUUGCAUUACAUACAUAGUUAUCAGAACUGAACCGGCGAUUGAACUAAUUAAGGCAUUGGUUCAAUGAUUUACUGAUUCAACCGUGAUUCAACCGGUUAUAUAAUAAAUAAAUAUUUAAAUAAAAAUAAUUAUUAAAAAAUUAUAAUGGGUAAAAUAUACAUUUUUUAUGCAAUAAUCAACUAAUAUAAAUAAAUAUAUCAAUAACAAGGUACAAAAAUAUAUAAUUAAUAAAAUAUUUAAGAGGACUUUUUCGUCUUCAUUAAUAUUUUAACUAUUACUUAUUGAUAUUCUUUAUAUUUAAAAGAAAAACGUAAUCUUGCAAUAAUUGUAUAUUAGAUAAAAUGUGCAUUAUUUGUAUGAUCUUUUUUUUUUUAUUUUUUAUUACUAUACACUCCUAUUUUUUUAUCUUUAUUUUUAAUUUAGUUUAUGUUUUUCAUUGAAUUAAUUUGGAUAAACUAUCCGAUAUAUUUAUUAUAAUAAUUAUGUUUCUUUUUUUUUCCUUCUCUUGACUUUCAUUGAAGAUUUUACUUUUUUUAUCAAAAAUCCAUAAAAGACAUUUCUUUUUAAAAAAAAAAUGGUUUUAAAAAAUAAUAUUAUAAAUCUUGUACAAUUUUUAUUUUUUUUAAACUUUUUUAAAAACCGGUCGUUCACUAAAUCCGGCUGUUCACUAUUUUUUCAAAAAAAUCGGCCAUUCAUCCGGUUUCACAUGUAUUUUUGGUAAAUUAAUUAACUGUACUGAUUCAUGUCCGAUUUUCGAUUCAACCGGUUGAACUGACCGAUUCAUACGAUUCUGAUAACUAUGAUUACAUAUUCCUUACCUCUUGAAUCCCCUCAUUUUAUAUUCAGACAGUCAACAGACCCUAUCGUAUUCCCCUAAAUGCCAGCAAGAAGCCCAUCAUAAUAUAUUAUAUGGACUAGGAUUCUCUACAGAUCAUAUUUUCCCGUAUUGGGGUGAAAGGUUAAAUAUUUUUCAAUUAUUUUAAUAAUUAAAUCAUUUAUAUGUAGACAUCCUAUAAACUUUAAUCAUGUAAAAAACACACGUUUGAUAAAAUUUCAAUUAAAAGUUAUAUAAUUUAUAUCAUGAUAAAUUAGCCUCAAAAUAGAAACCAACCUAUCUUCCCUUUCUAAUGCUCAACCAGGACGAAAAUCCAAGCUGAGCUCUUCUCCCAAAUUUGAAGCAAGCAUAGGCAACCAAUCCAUCAUACUCAUGGUUCACUCCAUCAAACACUAAUCUCUCCAAGUCAAGGCCCCUGUCAUUGGAGGAGGAAUAAAUUGCAGCAAUGCAUGGCAAGUCAUUGCAAUAACCUCGCGUACACCGGCUUAAAAGUACGCCUCGAGCACUUAGAUUUCUCUGCCUUUCCACACUUCUUCGCCCGAUCUCAAGUGACCAACUCACCGGUACCAUCCCCCCAUCCGUAUGACUCCUUACAAAACUCCAAUACUUGAUCUCUCCACAAAUUCUCUCUCGGCACAAUACCACUUUCUGGUCUAAUCUUUCCAUGUUUUUGAGCUUGAUUUCUCACGAACAUGAUAACCGGUGAGCUUGAAAUUCCGCGUUGUUUCCAAAUGUGCCACGGAAUCAGCCAAAACCGGGCUAAUAGUCUCCAGAGAAUUCUCCUUCAAGAUACGAACCUUAGUGGCUAUAUUCCUUCGAAUUAGGUUUGGGGGGCAAAAAAUUUGACCUCUCAUUGCUUUUGAUGGAAGUCAUUUUUUCGGUCCAAUUCCUUCUUCUUUGGGCAAUUUAGUGGAGUUAACGGCUUUACGGCUAGCUGCAAACCUCUUUCUGGGAAAAUUCCUUGAGUCUUGUUCUUUAAGCAGUUAACCGUCUUCGCUUGUUUAUAACCGAUUUAUCCGGAUUCCGUCCCUCAAGAAAUGGAAACUGUCGUCAUUGGGAGUUCUUCAUCUGGCAGGAGAACAACUUCACUGGCCAAUUGCCUCAACAAUGUGUCAAAGUGGAAAACUUGUGAUUUUCAGUGCAGCUUAUACCAAUUUUACCGGUCCUAUCCCAAGGAGCUAAGAACUUGCUCAACUUAUUCAGGGUCCGGUUUGAAUAUAACCAACUAGCAUGGCAUUUGGAUCAAGAGUUCGUAGUUUAUCCAGUCUUACUUACCUGGACUUGAGCUACAACCAGCUGUCAAGGUAAAUACGCUUCAAUGGGGGCAAUGUCGUAAUUUGACACUGCUAACACUUGCAGGAAUAUAAUUGCAGGGGAAUCCCAAAUGAAUACUUCAGUUAACCAACUCCAAGUAGUCCUGACCUGUCCAUUCUAAUCACUUUAUGGGAAAAUACCCCACAAACUUGGAAAAUUGUCGGAAUUAGACUCCUUAAGCUUGCAGAACAAUAUUUUUUCAGGUCAAUGACCGUCAGGCAUCGGACAACUAUCCAUUGGAAAUUCUAGACCUGUCAUUUAACAAGUUAAGUGGACCAAUUCCAAUCAGAUUGGGUACUGUUUCAAGGCUACAUUUUUGAGUUGGAGCAAGAAUAAGCUUAAAUGCUUCCAUCCCAACCUGAGAUUGGUUAUCUUGUAACUUUGCAAACCUUUACUUGAUUUGAGUUACAAUCACUUACUGGAGAGAUACCACCACAAUUGGGAAAACUUCCUAGCCUAGGAAAAAUUGAACCUCUCCCAUAACAACUUUUUCAAUACCGUACCCAGUUCUUUAGGUGACAUGGUGAGCUUGGUGACCAUUGACCUGUCCUACAAUGAUCUGGAGGGUCCUCUUCCUAAUACCGACGCCUUUCGUUCGUUUUCCUCCACAAUCAUUCGCGAAUAACAAAGAUUUAUGUGGUAAAUCCAAGGAUUGAGGGCAUGUAACACAUCAUCUCCGAAAGUAACAAGCAAAAGAAAGAGAAUUCCUCUCCUGAUAAUUAUUAUCAUAACUUAUCGUUUCCCUUCUUGUUUUUCGUCUCCUUUGUGGUUGUUUUCUUGCACUUGUCACCGAGAUGCGAAAUGAAUGCUCUGGAAUUUGGGUCCAGGAAAGGAAAAAAAUCUCUUUUCAUUUGGAAUUUUAAUGGGAGAAUGAUUUACGAAGACAUAAUCUAUGCCACAAAGAUUUAAGGAUGAAUAUUGCAAUUGGGGUGGGAGGGUCAGCGAGAGUUUAUAAGGCUAUGUUACCGAGUGGACAGGUCGUGGCAGUGAAGCUAACUCUAGAACUGAAAGCAUGGAGUAUGGACAGAACUUUCGAAAAUGAGAUAAGAACUUUGACAGAAACAGGCACGAACAUUGUGAAACUUAUGCCUUUUGUUCUCAUGAAAGGCAACAUUUUUUGGUUAGCGAGUUCAUGGAACAAAGGGAGCUUGGCAAGUGUUCUAAUUGUCGAUAAAGAAGCACGGAGUUAGAUUGGUUGAAGAGGGUGGAAUAUUAUUCAAGGUGUUGGCUAAAUGCAUUGUAUUACCUGCAUCUAGUUGCACGCAGUUUUUUUUUUUUUUUUCUCCAAUAAUUUCACCGCACAUAUCGAGCAGAAUGUUUUGUUGAACUCAGAAUUGGAGGCCUCCCAUGUCUCAGAUUUUGGCACUGCUAGUUUUUUGAAGCGUGAAGCCUCAAUUUGGCUGCAGUUGCGGCACAUAUGAUACAUCGCGCAGGUGGACAUUUUAUUAGAUUUAUAUGUUUUUAGUUUCAUUUAAUUUAUCGAAACGAGAAAAAUAUCCUUUUAAUUUUAAUAGAAUUUGUGGACAAUAGACAGCUCAAAAGAGUUUUCACGAAUAAUUUUUAAAACUAGUUUGUCAAAGAAUGUAGUGCUAUGGAUAAUUAGUUAAUAGAGUUACACAUUGUUGUCUAUGAGUCUCGGGGCUUUAUUUCAAGCUUAAUUUGAAAUUUUAAUGAGUUUAAAAACUUGUUCAACCUAGUUGGGAUAUUAGUCAAUUCAAUUUGGAAACAAUCUCCUAAUAAGUCAAUUUGAGUAAAUCACAGGUUAUAGGUUGGGUUGUUUUAAUUUUAUCUAGGAUAGCUUGUAGACUAAGCUGAGAAGAGCUACGAGAAAACUGACUAUUCCAACAUAUAUUCAGCAUUGGUUGUUUAGGUAAUAGGUGAUUGCAAUUGGAUUUUAAUUAACGAGCUAAACACAAAUGAACUUGACUAUUUUGUUCAUUUUACACCCAAUGCUUGCACCUUCUUUGAAGAUCCAUUUCGUCAGUGCAGAAUUGGCAAUUUGAAUUUUAGCCUCGAGUUAAUGUUUUUUCCUUAUUUUUUUCAUUCCUUUUGCUCUCAGAUUGUCGUAUACAAUUGCGGUGACAGAAAAAAUUCGAUGUGUAGCUUUGGGGUCAUUGACACUUGAGUUUUGAAGGAAUGGGCCUCAUCCAGGGGAGCCUUAUUUCCACCCCUAACUCUUAGUGGAUCAAUGCAUUCAACUUGAAGAUGUGUUUAGAUCCUCGCCUCUCUCCUCCUACCAAAAAGAUUGGCACAUGAACUCACCCCCAUUGUCAAUCUUGCAAUAUGGUGCUUGCGUGCUGAUCCACGUUCUAGGCCUUCCAAGAGCUGCCUUAAACUCAAGGCUUGAAAUCAAGGCUGGUUAUGACUAGAGAAAUAUAGCGUGUAUGAGAAUGUAACUAUGUAUGUAUUUGAAUAUCUAAGAAUCACAGCACCAAAAGAAAAAUGUGUAACUAUGCUAUUAAUGGGAUGUUGGUGUUAUUCAAUCCUUUGAUUGUGUGAUUUUAUUCAAUCUCCACCUAUAAAUAGAUAUGUAUUUUAUAUAUUAGACAUAUGAUGUAAUAAAAUGUGAUUAUCAACGAGAAAAAGAGUCCUUAUGGAAUUUGUGCUCAUAGGUAAAUGUUGAAAUAAAGGUUUAUUUGAGUUUUUAUGAUGAUUACAAAUGUUAAUAAUAAGUCAAGUCUAAAACCAUGGUUGAAAAUCACAUUAAAUAACUUAGAUAUACAAGGACCAAAUCAGUUAGUUCAUUUCCACAAAGACAAACAACAGUGGUCUAAAACAAUCUUACAUGUGAGAAAAGAAAGAUGUUGAGCUCUUUACAAGUCACAUUCAACGUCAUUGUGCAUACAAAAGAGGUAGAAAAGAUAAACCAACUCUCAAACUCAAAAUGGAUAGUUAACGGACUUAACUGAUAAAAUGACAUAAUACAAACUGCUAUUGUCACAAGUUCGAUCGACCGAACUUCAUCAAGUCAUCUCUUAAUAGAUAUGAUCAUUGAAAGCAUAGUUUAAAUACGACUGAAGUUCACAUUUGGUCGACCGAAGUUGAAAGAUGCACAACCGAAGUUGAAAUAGUGAACAAGGAUUCUCAUUGGAAUAACAGUUAAGACACGACCGAAGUUUACAUUUGGUCGAUCGAAGUGUCGACCAAAGUAUGUAAAUCCAAAAUAGAGCAACAUAAGUGAUCUCUGGAAUUGAAGAACAGUGUCGACUGAAUUUCAAGUUCGGUCGAGCGAAAGUGGAAAAGCCCUCGAUCGAAGUUUUAAAUUCCUCAGCAAACAAAGUAUGCAAGCCAUUGGAAUUUCUCUCAUCUCCUUUACAUUACUUAUAUACUUGCUAUUACUAGGAAUGCACUGUUUGUAUAAGUUUUAAAUAAGAAAUUUUAAUUGGCUAUUAAUCCUAAGCAAACCCACUUCACCACCUCAUAAUGUAUUUUGAGUUUUUAAUAAACGAACUUUGAUAUUUGAAGAAUUCAUUCAUAUAGUAUUUGAUGAAUUUAAUGAUCUAUUCUUCAAAAUUGCUUCAAGGAAUGCAGGAAUCGAAGAAAGCAUGGAAAAUUAAAAUUACUCAAGAAAAUUAAGAGAUUUAAGUAGAAGCCAGUGAGGACAUACAACUAGAAGUUGUCCUACCUCAGCUAGAAAAUCAAAAACAAGAUGGUGAAAGUUUAAAUCUUCCAAAAGAAUAGAGAUUCGUUCACAACCAUCCAACAACUCUCAUUAUUGGCAAUCCAUCAAGAGAGAUAACUACUAAAAACUCUAUAAGAAAUAUUUAUAAAAAUCUUGCAUUCUUAUCACUAAUAGAACCUAAAAUUUUUCAUAAAGCCGAAUUUGAUGAAUAUUGGCUUUUACCAAUGCAAGAAGAACUUAAUUAAUUUAAAAUAAAUAAACUUUGGAUACUAGUACCUGGACCAAUCAAUCACCCCAUAAUAGGUACUAAAUGAGAGUUUAGAAACAAACUAGAUGAAUCUGGGAUCAUUGUUAGAAAUAAAGUUAGACUCAUAGUGUAAGGUUCCAAUUUGUUUUUUAAAUACAUGACGUAAUUAGGGCACACAUGUGAUGUCAUCACACUACAAGUAUACACACACACACACACACACACACAUAUAUAUAUAUAUUUAUUUAUAUAUGUGUCUUUAUAUAAGUAUAUUUAUAUUAGAAGAUAAAGUUGAAUUGUUUUAUUUGGGCUUGUAAGUGGAGCGUGAGGAGCGUGUAAAUGGCUUAACCACAGAUGGAUUUUGAUUUUGAUUUAUUGAUGGGAUAAACUAAGCCCAAGGGCCUAAGGAGGGCAUUUGUGUUAUUUCAUUUUCGUGACCUAACGUAAAUAAUCUUCCCAAUAUUUGUGUUUAGAUUGUUUAUUUUUUUCUCUUCUUCUUCCUCUUCUUUCUUUCCUUCUCUCUUUCUAGAGUUGUGAGCAUUUGAGCUUAGAAUCUAGGUUAUGAGGUGUGAUUUGAGUGGUGAUCAUUUGGAGAAACAUCUACUACUUCGACGGAGCUUUAUUUUGACACUAGAAGAUUUGAGAUUGGAGGAAUUCAGAAUUUGGCAUCACUAUUAAUUGUAGAUCUUUUUUGUUGCUUGGAUUUGAGGUAAAAGGUUUUUUUUUUGUGGGGGUUUUAAUCUUAGAUUUAUUGUUAUAGGCUUGAAUAAAGUCCUAUUGCUGAUUUUGAGUAUUGAACUUGAAAUGAAAACUGGUUUGUUAUGGAAAUUGUAGGUUUAUUGUUGGAAUUUUUCAUUGGAUUAUUAUAAAUGGCUUAUAUAAGCCUAUAUUUUAUAAGAUUUUUAUUUUUAGUGUUUAAACUAUAAAUGAAAGAUUUGGUUAUAUAAAAAAAGUUGGAUUCCGUAGAUCAAGUGUCGACACGUGUUGUUUUCAAGUGUCAACACCUGACGAAGAAGAAAGAAAAUUUGACUAUUGGUCCCAGGUAUCGACAUUUGAAACUAGUGUCGAUACUUUUGAAUAGUAAACUUAAAAUUUUGACUUCAACCUAAGGGUUGUCGACACUUUUGAAUAGUAAUAAACAAUUGGAGUUUUUCCUAGUUUUACCUUGAGUAUGAUGAUAUUUUGUAUAAUAUAUUGUUGCAUUGAAAUUUUUGAUAAUACAUGUGCGUUGCGGGAUUUGAAUAAUGUGAUUUGGGGGGGGGGGUACUUAAAAUUGGUGACAUUUUAUAUGAUUGAGUAUGAUAAUUGUUUCAGAACAAAAUAUGAGAAUGAUUUCAAUAAUAACUUAUUAUUAUUGACGAUUUUAAAUGCUUGUAGAGUAUGUUGUUGCAUUUAAAGUUUGAUAUAUAACAUGAACGUAUGAUUGAACUUGUGAAAAAUAUAAAACUUAUAGGUGCAUGGAGAUUUAAAAAUAGUUUGGGAAUGAUACGUUAGGAUGUAUCAAAAAUUAGAUGACAACGAUACAGAGGAAAUGUCAUAGCUCACGAUGAAAGCCCAGGAAGUUGACAAAAUAAAAGUUCUAGAUCGCAACGAUACAGAGGGAAUGUCAUAGUGAAAGCCCGAACAGUUGAUAAAAUAAAAGUCCUAGAUGUCAACAAUACGGAGGGAAUGUCAUAACCCACGAUGAAAGCCCGCGAAGUUAACGAAUGUUAUCUCAUGUACUUAGUGCAUAAUGAGGUUGGUUAUAUAUUAACCUAAGAAUUGAAUUGAAUUUUUGAGAAGACUCGGGAACACGGGAAAAAUGUUGGAUGUGAAAAAUCAUGGAUUUGAAUCAAAAGUAUAUUUUGAUAUGAAUGAAAAUAUAUUUUGUUGCUCAUAUUUUCAUUGUAGAGCUAUAUAUCACAGUUUUUGGGCUUGAGACAUAAGUACCUACUAAUUGUUAAAUCCCUUUUCAAGCAGUGGUUAACUCACCUUACUAUACAAUAAAUUUUAGAUACCGAGGGUUAUCUUGAGUCGUAAAGCAUUUGGAUUGUUCGUAUAUUGUUAUUUUAUUUGUGCAUAUAUAACAUGUAUUUUUGGGAAUUGUAAUUAUUCUUAUUGGCCCGAGUGUGGCAUUGUCCAUUAAAAUAUCACUUCUCGUUUGUAGUUGAUAGUUUAUGGAGAGCUGGUCCUACGUGUUAGGGAUAGAGGUCCCAUACUCUGAUGUGUAAAACUAGUGUAUUGCCAGACUGUUUCUUUAGGUUUGACUUUUCAUACAUAUUGAGUUAAUUUGCUUAUGUGGUCGAUCUAGGCUGUGACCGGCGGCAUACCUAUAGCACGAGGGGUAUCGUCACAAGGAAUGAAUAUAUUUGAUAAUUCAUUUCACGAUCCUCCCCGAUCGCUAAAUAAAUUACGGAUAAUAUUGAAUGGCUACUAGAUUGCAUCUGCUGCUAUAUGAACUUCAUAACGUAUAACCUGUAAAUUGGUCUAUAAAUAUGUCUGUGUGGUUUUGGGGAAUGUAUCCAUUACCUUGCGGAAGGUGUAUCUGUUUGCACCAACUUCCAGGCUUUUUGACGAAUCAGGAAUUUCCGAACCACGUAUAUAGCUUUUUAAAGCCUCUAUGAAUUAAAGAAAACUCCAAGGCUUGGUGUGAAAGACUAAGUGAGUUUUUUAAUGAAAUGAUUUUAUUCAAGAAAAAACAAAGUAAAGCCUUAUUCUUACAAAUUAAAAAUAAAGGACAUACUUAUUGGGCAAAUAAUGUAGAUGACAUUAUAUUUGGUGCUACUAUGAUAUUAUGUGCAAGAUUUUACAUAGUGUGCGCGAGUUCAACUUCUUUCCUUAACUACAAAAUCAAGCAUCAAGUGGAUAAAUUAUACAAACCAACCAAAAUAUAAUAAAUGAUUGAUCAAAUGUUUCAACCAUCAGCAUAUGAGAGCAUUAGCUACCCCCGAUUAGCACAUCUAUAACUGACAAGACACAACGCUAAAAACUGAGAUGAAAAACUCUAUUGAGGUAUCAUUGGAUCUCUACUUAUUUAACUGAAGUAGACCCGAUAUCCAUGCUUAGUGUAAUGCAUAUGUGCUAGAUUUCAAUCAUGGCCCUAAAGGAAUCACAUCUAUUGGCCAUCAAUCUAUUUAAAUAUGUUAUAGAUAUGCAAAAGCUAGUAUAUUUUAUCUAAGAGGAUUUGCCUUUGAUUUGAAGGAUAAUCAGGACAGACUAUGGCGGUAUGCAAAAGUAGAACAAAAAAGCACAAAUGGGACUUUUUAAUUUCUAGGACAAUCCCUAAUUUCUUAUAUUAGCAAGAAACAAAAUUCCAUCAAACUAUUAACCGCCAUGCUGAUAGUGGCCGCCAAAAGUUGUUGUGCUCAAUUCUUGUAGAUAAAAACAAAUAAAUGGGGGAAUAUAAUUUAUAUUUUGAUUAUAUUUCAAUCAAUUGUGAUGAUACAAGUGCUAUAAUGUUGUCUAAGAAUCCCAUAUAACAUUCUAGAACAAAGCACAAUGAGAUUCGAUAUCAUUUUCUAAGAGAUCACAUCCAAAAAAGGAAUAUUGAACUUAUAUAUAUGCACACCGAUAAGCAAUAGGCAGAUAUUUUUAUAAAAUCACUUGAUAAGAAAGAUUUUAUUUCAUGAGACGUGAACUUAAUAUGUCUCAACCAAUGUGAAUAUAUUUUGAUUUCUUAAUUAAAUUCAUAAUACUUGAGUUAGUAGGAAUUGAGAAAGAAUAGUUUAAAUCAAAAUUUAUUCUAUAUGAAUAAAUGUUAUAUUUGAUCUAAUAUAAGUUUAUUGAUCGACAAAAAUGUGCAUAGAAGUCUCAAAUUUUGAGAUACAUGAAAUUGAUUCAUAGAAUUAUAUUUUAUAGUUGUUUUAUGUAAGUGUGACUUGUGUGAAGAAAAAAAAUGAGCAGUAAGAUCAAACUUAAGUCAAAAUUCCUUACUGUCAAAUUUUGCAGAUAUAGUAGGAACUUCAUUUGAUCGAACUUGAAGUUUGGUUGAUCGAAGUUGCUAAAUUAAAAGGUCAUGUAUACAUUAAAAAGAACAUUAAUUGAGUCCUAGAAACCCUAUUUCUCUUAAAUACUAAUAUCUUAUAAACACUUAUCUAUUACUCUCUCUCUUUACCUCACUAAAGAAAACACAACCCAUACAAUUCUCUCAAAAUGUUUCAUCAAAUUAGUGUUCUUCAACUUCCAAUUUUCCUGAUUCACUCAACCUCUUGGAAGUUCGAUCGACAAAUCGCAAAAAUAUUGUUGACCGAAUUCACAACUUUGAUCUACUGAAGUAGCAGAAACUACGGGAUAAGAGGGAGGGAUAGAGUUUCAAAUGUUUUCAAGCUUCAAUUUCUUACCCUUUUUAGCUUCUAUCAGAUUCCUCGAGGACAUCUAUCUCUUUUAUCUCAUUAUAAAUAAACCCUAUACCUAUUCCUUAUCAUCAUAUCAAAAUCUCUCAAACCCUAGAUCAAAAGUCUAUGAUUUUUCAGACCAUGAUGCAUCCGAGAACCAAGCACGCAUCGAACGAUCCAAGAGGUGAGGAUACCAAUCCUAAACCUGAAAUGGAGUUCAACCCACAACUAUUCAAGAACAGGAAAAUCCAAAAGACAUGGCUAUCCGAGUUCAAAGAAAGGCCAAUCAUCACGGGAAGGAAAUUUAAGAAAAAUUUCCCACUCAAGUACUACAAGAAAAUGUUGGUGCCAUUGGAACCUCUUGAUUGGAAUGGAUGGCAUCCUCUUCCAACGGACAUGUACUCAAACUUGGUAAGGGUUUUCUACUGCAACUGAGAAGUAGGAAACCUAGAUAAUAUUGUGUACACAAUUGACUCAAAUGUUAGAGGGAAAUAUAUAGUCCUCAAUCCCACGAUCUUAUCUGAGAUCACAGGGAUUGUUAAUGCUAGGGACUACAUCUUUUUCAACAAGUCAAGCCAACUUGAUCAAUAUGUGAGUUAAAAACAUAUGAAUAAAAUGAUCUCCAUAAAUGGAAUAUUAGAAGCCACACAAACCAAGGAUAUGAUAAAGGAAUUCAGACUAUUCCAUACAUCACUUACAAUAUAAUUUCUAAGAAGAGAUAUUAUAAUCAAGUGACAACUACGAUAGAAGAGCCUCAUAAUCUAAACUAUAUAAUUCUAAAUGAGAUUGCUAAUGUGAGAAACCAUAGUAGUCGAGCCCUACAUUUUGGUGCUCUCUUGACUAAAAUUUUCAAACACUUUAGAGUCAAGUUUAACAACCAAAUCAAUCAAUAUAUAGGUGGACGUUUUCCUAAACAAAUGAUAAAAAGAGAGACAAGUGUGUUCUCCUCCGAUAAGGAAGAAGAAGAAAGAAGUCACAGUGAUAUGGAGGUUGCAGGAAACUUUGAGGAUCUUCCCCCACAAACCGAGGAAACUUAUGAGGAACUAAGCACUCAAGUGUUCCAACUCCAAAUACAAGAAAAGGAAACGAUGCAGUGGGAGAAUCUUAUGCAAGAAAGGCUUUCAUCGCAAUACGUGCAUUCGACAUGAUUCUUGGAGUACUUUGGAAAGCUCAAUGCCAUAAUGAAACGCGUGGAGCAGCGCCAAGAGAAGUAAGUAGAAUAUUUUGAGCAAAUAGAGUAACGCCAAGAGAAGAAGGAAAGAUACAUUGAGAGGCUCGGUGACUUGUACGAGAACUUGUAUGAGCAGCAAAUCAACUUCAAUAAGCAAUACAACGAUAGGAUGACCAACAUGGAAACUCAGCUUUAGUAUCUCUAGUUCACAACUCAUCCUCCAGCUGAUUUUCCUCUUCCUCCUCCUCCUACACCAUUCGAUGCCCCUAGCUCUUCAUACCGGCCUUCUUGACCUGGACCUAUUGAUGAUUCCCUGAAGGGGGAGAAGAUUUUAGUUUUUUGAUUUAAUUUUUUUAAACAAAUUUCUGAUCAUUUAAAAUUUUUGUUUUAAAAGAAUGUGGUUUGUUUUUUAAUCUAUCUUAGUGUUUGAUAUGCUCCUUUUACAUGCCAUGUUGCUGUGAGUGUGGAUACAUAUGCCAUGUUGCCAUUCUUCUUAAUAUGCUUACUAAGUAUCCCUUGAUUCUAUGUUUAUAUAAUAAGCUUAAAAUAUUAAAACAUAAGAACAAGUUAAACAAGCACAAAGAUAGGGGAUGUUUGAAUAAAGGGGAGCAUGUAAAUUUUAAAACAAGAAUAUGAUUUUCAAAAAUAGUUGUGUCAUCAUAAAAAAUGGGGAGCUUGUUGAAAUAAAGGUUUAUUUGAGUUUUGAUGAUUACAAAUGUUUAACAAUAAGUCAAGUCUAAAAAUCACAUUAAACAACUUAGAAAUACAAGGACCAAAAAUAGUGGUCUUGAAAACAAUCCUACAUAUGAAUAAAAAAAGAUGUUAAGCUCUUUACAAGUCACGUUAAAUAUCAUUGUGCAUAUAAAAGAGGUAGAAAAGAUAAACCAACUCUUAAACUCAAAAUGGAUAGUUAACAAACUUAACUGAUAAAAAGACAAAACACAAAUUGCUACUGUCACAAGUUCGGACCGAACUUGUAUACCGAAGGUUAAAUGAAGCACAAUUGAACUUCAUCAAGUCAUCUAUUAACAGAUAUGAUCACUAGAAAAUCGUUAAACUACGACCGAAGUUCACAUUCAGUCAACCGAAGGCAAAAGAUGCACAACCAAUGUUGAAAUAGAGAACAAGGAUACUCACUGGGAUAACAGUUAAGACACGACUAUAGUUUACAUUCGGUCGACCGAAGUGUCGUCCAAAGUAUGUAAAGCCAAAAUAGAGCAACAUAAGUGAUCUCUAUAAUUACAGAAUAAUGUCGAUGAAAAUAAAAAAGCCCUCGAUCAAAGUUUUAAAUUCAUCAGCCAACAGAGUAUGCAAGUCACUGAAAUUUUAGU